AUGAAAACCAGCCCAGCGCAGCCCGCGACCGUGCGCCCCGCUGCUCGGGGUCCUUGCCCGCGCCCCGCCCGCGGCUCGCACCUUCCUCAGCGCAGACAUCCUCGGGCGCAGAGCGACAUGGCCUUAGUCACGGUACCCAGCCCGGCGCACGCUCGCUCGGAGCCCCUCGCCGGCGCCUGCGCACUGGGCGCUCGGGAGACCUGGCGCGCUGGGGGGCGGCGGAGGCAUCUGGGGAGGGGCCGGGACCCGCCGCGGCGCCCAAGCCACGCGCCGCGCCCCCGCCGCCCGCCGCCGCCCGCCGCCGCCCGCCGCCGCGCAGGCCCCGCCCCGGAUGCCACCUGUGCGGCGCGCCAGAGGCGGCGGGUAACCCGGGGCGCGUGCCACUCGCCGGCAGCCCCGCGGUCCCAGCGCCGCCCGCGCGGCCGGUGCCAGGGCGCCGCUAAGUUAGCGCGCGGCUCCACACGUGCCUCGGCGCCCCGCAUCCGUUGGACGGACCGGCAGCAGGUGCGGCGGGCCGUGUGGCCGGAGGCUCCCGAGCCGUCCAGGGACCGUCCGUCCUGCCGCUGGCGCUGCCCCAAACCCGAGCCGCUUCCGUGUUCCCUCGCCGCUGCCCCGCGGGAGCCGGACGCCGCCCCCUCCUCAGGCCCCGCAGCUCCCCCAGCCCGCCCGUCCGCCCCGCACAGCCCGCGCCGCACCCACGCCCCGGGAGCGCAGGGUCGGGGAACCCCCGCCGGCGAGGGACGAGGCCGCCGCGCAGCACGACCCGGCCACGGCCCCGCGGCUCGCACCUUCCUCAGCGCUGACAUCCUCGGGCGCUCGGAGUUCAGCAGGCGCAGGGCGACACGGCGGGCGGCCCGACCUCCCGUCAGUCCGCGGGGCAACCGCCGCCGCGCGCUCCGACCGCGCUCCAUCUCGGCGCACGCUCGGAGCCCCCCGCCGGCGCCUGCGCACUGGGCGCUCGGGAAGCCUGGCGCGCUGGAGGGCGGCGGGCGCGCGGAGGCAUCUGGGGAGGGGCCAGGCCCCCGCCGCGGAGCCCAGGCCACGCCCCCGCCGCCCGACGGCGCGCAGGCCCCGCCCCGGAUGCCACCUGUGGCGCGGGCCGUCGCCGGCCUCCCGAGAGUCCCGGCACCUAUGUUCCAGGCUGUACCUUAG
rnacentral:lncRNA from 12 species